CAAACAGCCAGCGCAUUGUCGCGGAAGAGCUCGUAAUGCUCGGGGUGUUGCAGCUCCAAAAGAUCGACGAGACUUGCGACUGUCCUCUGGGCGAUUUUGUCCGAAGCAUCAGCAUGGUUUGUCAUGGUGAAAACAAACUACACGGCUUAAUAAUAUCGAAACACUACAUGUGUUUGUUAGACCACUUAA